GGGCUCGUGAGGUAGUUUGGAUAUCCUACCGGCCUUCGGAAACCCUUUGAAGUGCUGUAAACCUGGGGCGUAAAGCCCCGAGCGCCUUCGGCGCACCGGUUAACCUCGCAUCCUACGGAUGCUCGGUCCUUUGAAGUGCUGUAAAAGGGGCCAUGAAUGGCCCUAUCAUAACAUUGCUAUUGCCCCUAACGGGGCGGAACUGAGAGUUAUUUGAUCUGGGGUCUGGAGAGAGCCGGUUACCGGGGUUCGAAUCCCCGCGAGUCCG
rnacentral:tRNA from 1 species